GUGCUCGCUUCUGCAACACAUAUACUAAAAUUGGAACAAUACAGAGAAGAUCAGCAUGGCCCCUGUGCAAGGAUGACACAAAAAUUAUCUAAUAAAAAUUUAA